rnacentral:rRNA from 1 species
UACGGAGGGUGCAAGCGUUAUCCGGAUUUAUUGGGUUUAAAGGGUCCGCAGGCGGACUUGUAAGUCAGAGGUGAAAGCCGGCAGCUUAACUGUCGAACUGCCUUUGAUACUGCAAGUCUUGAGUAAAAUUGAAGUGGCUGGAAUGUGUAGUGUAGCGGUGAAAUGCAUAGAUAUUACACAGAACACCGAUAGCGAAGGCAGGUCACUAAAUUUUAACUGACGCUGAGGGACGAAAGCGUGGGGAGCGAACAGG